CCAGCAAUUGCGGUUAUACAAAUAGUGCGAGUUAAUUUUUUCGGUUGCCAGUUAAUUUGUUUUUUUUAAUUUUGAAUUUAAAUUUAUAAGGUGGAAUUUGUAAAUUUAACUUAAAAUUAAGGUCUGAUUAAAUGAGGCUGGGAUACUCAGUUUAAAAACUAGGAUUAGAUACCCUAUUAUUCUGAGUGUGAAUAAUUUUACCUGAUUAGUAGUAGUUAUGUUCUUGAAAAUUAAAGGUUUUGGCGGUAUUUUAGUCCAUUCAGAGGAACCUGUCCUAUAAUUGAUGGUCCACGAGUUAUUCUACUUUUUUUUAUUAAUUUAUAUAUCGUCGUAGUUUGAAUAUUUUAUUAGAAUUUAAAUGUUCAUAAUUCUUUUUAGGAGGAAAAUCAGAUCAAGGUGUAGUUUAUAGAAAAGAAGAGAUGGGUUACAAUAAAUUUAUUUAUAAGGAUUUAUUUUUGAAAUUUAAUAAUGAAUUUGGAUUUGAGGGUAAUUUUAAUCUAAUAAUUAAGAUGAUUUUGGCUCUAGGAUAUGCACAUAUUGCCCGUCGCUUU
rnacentral:rRNA from 1 species